GCUUUCCCCAGGUCAGUUGGUAAAGUUUCUGCUUCGCAUCCCGAUGGUCGCCGGUUCGAGCCCGGCUGCGCGCG